UUUUUUUGUCAAAAUACGUUUUAACCUUUAUUUUUUAAAAAAAGAAACCCAAAAAUAUUUUAUAAAAUUCCUUCUUCUCGCUUUUUAUCCCUUUUGUCUUCCAGCUGAAAAGGCCACCAAUGGUUUACCCAACCGUCGCCGUGACUCCAGUGAGUCUUCCUUCGUCGACGCGAGCACGACGUGGCUCCGGUGUUGUGAUGUCGUGGAGGAGUGCACGAUCGUGAGGGAUGAAUGCACGAGAUAGAGGUCGUGUGUGGGCGUGCCGACGUGCGUGGGAAGCUGAUCAUGGGGGCUACAGCGCCAACUGUUUUCAGAACUCUUAGUGUUGCUGGAAUUUUAUGUUAUUGGCUUAGGCCAUUUGGGCUAGCUAGGGAUUUGGGCCACUAUAAUUUGGGCUUGUUUAAUUUUGGGAUUGGUUUUUUUUUUGUUUUAAUUAUUUUUGCUUUUAUGUGUGUACGGGCUAUAAUUGAGUAUUUGGACCAGGCAAAAAUUAGGUUUUACACUAGAUAUUAUGACUUUAAAAUUAGAUUUGUUUUUAUAUAAUUUUUAGGUUUUAAUUAAUCAAAUUUGACCUUAGUUUAGACUAUACUUUAAAAUUCUUAUAUUAAAUGCAAGUUCUUUACAAA